ensembl:lncRNA
CUCAGACACGUAUAUACAUGUAUACAUGUAUAUUCCUUAGUUUUGAUUGAAUAGUACUUGGAAGUAGAGUUAAGGGACUGCAAAUCAGAAAUGUUUCCUAAAUGUUUUAAAGGGGCUGUCAGGAAAUACUAUUUGAUGAAAUAAUUUUCUAUAACUUAGAGUGGCCUGUCUUCUCCACUGAACACUGUACUAGAUCGGAAAUUGUAGAAUCUCGGGGAUGAGUCAUGUUCCUUUUUUUAAUAAACAGGUUUUGCUGUCUCUAAGCUGAACCUGGUCGCCUUUUUUGAACAAAGAAAGGAGCCCUGGGAUGUGAAGAAAAGGAGACAGCAGUCACACGCCCAGGAUUAAUCUAGAGAAAUCAAGAACAGCGCCUGAGUACCUUACACACAACCACCCUAUCUGAACACAAAUACUGCUGCUCCCAGUGAAGACCACCACCACCUUCUGAAAAGAUGACAUUCUCUGCUCACCACCUGUCAGUUGAGCAGGACCUGGGGAAAGCAGUGGAGUCUGAGCAAGACUGUUGUGGGGGGACAACAAGUAUUCAUUCUCGAAAGGAAUGUUUCAUGAGGAUCUACUGCGUGCUCACAGUCCCUCCCAGCAUCAAAGUCUUUUCCAAUGAGUCAACUCUUCGCAUGAGGUGGCCAAAGUACUGGAGUUUCAGCUUCAGCAUCAUUCCCUUCCAAAGAAAUUCCAGGGCUGAUCUCCUUCAGAAUGGACUGGUUGGAUCUCCUUGCAGUCCAAGGGACUCUCAAGAGUCUUCUCCAACACCACAGUUCAAAAGCAUCAAUUCUUCGGCGCUCAGCCUUCUUCACAGUCCAACUCUCACAUCCAUACAUGACCACUGGAAAAACCAUAGCCAUGACGAGAUGGACCUUAGUCGGCAAGAAAUUUUCCAGAAUAAGAAGCUCAGAUAUAUGUGGUGUUAGUUGCUCCGUUGUGUGUGACUGUGACCCCAUGGACUGUAGCCCGCCAGGUUCCUUUGUCCGUGGGGAUUCUCCAGCAGAGAAAGGAAUCCAAGAAGCCAGCAGUUGCCUGAAGCCCUGAAGCCCUGCGAGGCUGGCUUGGCCUGGAAGUCAGGUAGAAAUUGCAGAAGAUGAACUGGAAAUCCAGCUUUGAGCUUCCAGAAGUCAUCUCACAGGCUGCUGAGAAAGGAGGGCUCGUGGGGUACCCUCCCUGCAGAAAGAAAGAGAUGGAGCACAGGAAGAACAACCUUGGCUCCGAGCAUCCUUCGAGGAAAGCGUCAGCUUCCUGUCCGAUUUUCCACAGAACAAGGAAAGGCCUGUGCAGUCGAGAGGAAGACCACCUGGGAAGGGAAGAAGGCGGGGGGCAGACACCGUUCCCCAGGCUAGUGCUGCCUCCACCAGGGAGAGCCCUGUCUCCAGAUCACCCUGCCGGCAUCUCAAACUCUACCACUGGCCAUUCAACCUUCUGCCUUCCAAAGCUGCAAGGAUGCGGGAAACUCGUUCCAGGGGACCCCACAGCUUUUAUCAGUAACCUCCUCAGUGGUAAGGACAGAGGGUACAAGGUAAGCCCUUAAAGAUGGUGAGGACAAGCACUGAAGCAUAUACACUAUCCUGUGUAAAACAGGCAGCUAGUGGGAUUUGCUGUGUAACACAGGGAGCUCAGCCCGGUGCUCCGUGAGGACCUAGAGGGGAGGGGGGCUUCAGACGGAGGGGAUAUACGUAUACUGCAGGCUGAUUCACGCUGUUGUACUGCAGGAACCAACACGACAUCAUAAAGCAAUUAUCCUUCAAUGUAAAAUAAAAUAAAGAUGGUGGGGAUAAUAAGACCAGGCCCAGGAAGGAAGGUAACCUGGCUGAGGGGUGCCUGCUGGACCCCAGGCCCUUCUCUCUCCCCUUCCUGAGAGCCCAGGGCCUCCACUGGGAUGGGGGUGGGAGGGUGAGACCUCUGACAAUUCCUGGGCCGCCCUCCUAUAGUUCAGUGCCCCCUUUGACGCCAG